ensembl:lncRNA
CGGUGGGUCCCGCCCCGCUCACCUGUGCAGGUCGGACGGCCGCGUUGCUCCCGCUCCAGUUCCACCCCAGUCCUCGGAGGAUGAACGCGCUGAGGCUGCCGGCCGAGCCCGGCAGGGAGUGUAUCUACAAUGCUUAUUAAAAACUGGAGGGAGGAAGAAUGACCAAAUAUCAAGUGAUGCUCCAAGGAGUGGAAAGAUGUAUACAGACGUACUGUUUGGUAACUGGACGGUAAGCAUAGAGACUGGAUGACAGUACCAAUUUUUGAAAGAUUUAUAAAGUGCCAUAGAAAACAGAGGAGUUUAAACUAAAAUGUAGCAAAGACUUAAGAACCAUGGUUAGCUUUACACCUUAUGUGCACUUUCACUGAGGUCAGUGACACUUCACUGUGGAAAGCGAAAGAGGUGUGCAGAUCCCUGCCAGACUGAGCCUGAUGGUCUCUCUGGG